UACAGAGGUCUCAAGCGUUGUUCGGAUUCGUUGGGCGUAAAGGGUGCGUAGGCGGCGCGGUAAGUCGGGUGUGAAAUCUCGGGGCUUAACUCCGAAACUGCAUUCGAUACUGCCGUGCUUGAGGACUGGAGAGGAGACUGGAAUUUACGGUGUAGCGGUGAAAUGCGUAGAUAUCGUAAGGAAGACCAGUGGCGAAGGCGGGUCUCUGGACAGUUCCUGACGCUGAGGCACGAAGGUCAGGGGAGCAAACGGG
rnacentral:rRNA from 1 species